AACUUCACGGGGCAUUCCCUGGAUAAAUUUAACAAAGGGAAAACCUCUCACCUUAAAAUUAAAAAAACAAAAUUCUAAAGUUCGCUUACCGAGUAUUUCAGCCUAAUCAUGCGACUAGCUUCAUAAAAACCAUAUCAAAAAACAAUAUCUAAACGAUAUGCAAAUGAAAACUUCACAUAAAAAAAAACUCCAACUAAAAUUAUCAAUUGAACUCAAUAUCAUUUUAGCCUAAUAUACUUUCACUUUUACCUACAAACCCACGAUCCAUAUAAUUUAGUAGUCCAAAAAAGUUUAUCAAACCUUACUUUCUUUUGUAAUUCUUAAUUUACUAUCUACUCAAAUUAUAUUUAAAAAGAUUAAAAAGAAGAAGAAGGUAAGAAUCUGCAAAUAACUCAUUUUUACUAACUACUCAAGAGCUGAGUAUAAUCUGCAAAUAACUCAUUUAACAUUCAUUUCAAUUGAUUUCAAGCAAACAAAAGUUAAAAGAAAUCAUCAACUAUUUAAAUAAAUCGUGAAGUCACACAAAAUAUAUUAAAACGAUAAAGAAAGAAGGUAAGAAAUGAACCUUAAAGGGUUUUCGCAAAAUAUAAAUUCUGAUCUAACUUUUGACCGCAAUCGGAAACUCAACGAACAAUCUCAAACUCGAGCACAUCUCGGCCCCAACAGAUGAAAAUAAAUUUGUUGAAUUCACAUGGAAGAAAAUCUGGAUGCAGCAGAAUCAAAACUUAGUGUUAACUUAGGUUGCUCAUUAGAUUCUUGAAAAAACAAAAUUUAUUCCUUCUGCCAUUUUCUGUUCGAUUGGAAAUUAAGCUUUGUUUGUUAGACAAUGGAAAGUGGACCACCUUAGACCAUGAGCAAGUGGGGUUGUGCACACGUAACUUGCAUCUGAAUAUUUUAUUAUGGUUUCGUCUUUGUAAAUUUGUUACACGAAGACAAGCAGCGUGUGCGGCGCUGGUGGAAUUUGGCAGGGAUGGUUGUUCCGUUUGGCAGGUUUUAACGGCUAUUCGAGUGUGUCUAGAAGAGGGCCACGACUGGUUUUGGAGAUCUGGUCGCUGGAUUUUGGGUGGCAGAAUGGAGGUGGAUAUGGGGUCGUUGGUGUGAGGUGUUGCCGCUCUGUAUCUCUUUUUUUUUUCCUAGGGUUCCAUUGUUGUCUUGAUCUCCAAGAAGAAGAAGAUCUUACUAGGGUAUAUGUUAUAGUACAUGGAGAGGCAAUUGGGCUCAAGUGUAAUGGGUUUUAGCUAAAACAAAUGGACUCACACUUUUGAGCCUACAAAUUUUCUUGUUG
rnacentral:lncRNA from 1 species